AGCCAGCUUGCCAUAGCUACUCUUGAAGACACAGUUGAAGUCAUCAGGAUCAUUCCAGUGAGUCACAGCAUUAAUGGGCCUUGAGAAAAGACAGUUUGCUA